ensembl:lncRNA
CCGGCACGACGCAGCAGGAAACAGUGUCAGGACGCGGGUUUCUCCGGAAGCAGCUCAUUCACGUGGGACGAAUAAGGCUAUGCCUGCUCUUCAGGGAUGUUCUCUUCGCCUGCCUUUAUUUACACAAAGUCACCUGGAAAUUGUUCUUAAGACUUGGGAAGAAAUUGUAUCAUGCUCCCAGACCAUUUGCAAAUGGUUCUUCCCCAAGAAUCCUCAGAAGGAUUCAGAAACUAUCCAGGGGAGAAAAUGCUAAUGUCCCCGCAUCUUUCACAAGCCAGCUUUCUCCAGCACUCGAGAGGACUUGCCAGAGAUAUUUUUGGUAGCUCGCUCAAACUGAGGGGCUUCAGGAAAUGCACCGUGGGACGACGUCGCCUGCACGCUGCUUGUCCUGUCUUUGAUUUUCCUGUCAGAGGCUCGGACUUACCCAGAAUCCGCCUGACUUGGCAUUUCCUGACUUUUGGCUUUGGACCCAAGCGUUGUUUAAACAAAGGGCGUGGGGCCCAGUGGGGGUGGGGACCGGGCAUUGUUGGAAUAUCACACGGGAUAAAAAAUUAGAUGUCCCUGUCAAACUAAGUUUAGGCCUGUGAGCCAUUGUUUGCUAUGUGACAACAAUGCUUGUCCAUUUUUAUGACAGUGAAAAGAAUUAGCAGGGCUACAUGCUCUGAUGUAAGAUGUGGACUGGGUGAAUGGGCGUGCUGAGUCGCUUCAGUCGCUGCCCCAUGGUUGGCAGCCCUCCGGGCCCCUCUGUCCACGGGAUUCCCCAGGCAAGAAUCCUGGAGUGGGCUGCCAUGCCCUCCUCCAGGGGGUCUUCCUGACCCAGGCAUCGAACCCGUGUCUCUUAUGUCUCCUGCAUUGGCAGGAGGGUGCCACCUGGGAGGCCUGAACUGGGUAUUUCCUCUUAAACAAAAAUCUGCACUUAACUGCCCAUUAGCCAUCAAACUGCCAGGUAGCAGUAUAUAGAGUAUAUUGACCUCCCUGGGUGGGGAAACACCUUCUGGAAUGACAACAAGGUGGAAAUAGUCGAGUCUUAGCCUUAUUUCUAUGGAGGAUGUCGAGGUUUUUGUGAAAUGACCUAUUUACAGAAACAAAUGAGCCGUUGCUUGUAUCUUUCCCUGAUCUACCAACCAAGAAAACGAGCUUGAUUUUUUUUGUUUUUUGUUUUGCUUUCUAAAUGUUGUAGGGGUUCAGAUUAAAUAAUCAUCAUCUUGGUUUUACUAAAAU